UGCGCCCCGAGAGGGCGGGGUUAGAGAGAGUCAACAGCAGAGAGGAGCAUCAGCUGACCACAGGAGAGGAACCGAGGUGGUGUUACACAGGGUCAGUGCACUGAGGUAGAGAGGUAAUGAUGUCACAUGCUAAAGAAUAAAUAAAGGAUCACAGCCAGCUGUUGAUGCCAGAGAUGUCUCUGUCUGUUCGCUGCUGGCUCAGAUGAGAUCACUGUGGCUGUGACAGACCUCAGCAGCUGCACACAUGGGCUCCCCUUCCCCCCCGACACACGUCACAUCAACACAACUAUACUGAGAAAUAUGAAAAGAGACCGGAACAACACACAUCAAACGCCUGCAUAAGUGCCUAAUUAUGUGUUGCAAAGGAGUCAAAUCAAGGAGACGCACACAAAGUGGUUACAAUUUUUACAUCUUUAUUCAUUAAGAUUACAGAAUGUUUUAAAUUAUUGCUCAUCAUCUACCAUUAUCACUUGCAAUAUUUAAACAAGGUUGUUUUUCUUCUUUAUUAGACAACUUAAAACAUGUUUGAGAAUUUUGCCAGUUUGCACUGAAUGAGGAUUUACAACAAUAAAUACAGGAGUGGAUUCUUCUUUUACCGUCCUAUACUUUUAAAGGUUGUCGUAUCUGUAUAUAGUAUGUAUAUACAUAUACGAUGCUGGUGUCUUCCCCUGCCCACCCGUCUGUUGGUCAGCUUACGGCUGACAAAACAAAAAAUGGUUUCUCUCCCUAACGCACAGGCUAGGAUCCUGAGGCAGCGGUUUAACGAAGCAACCAUGGCCAACAAAAAGAGGAUGCGUACAGACACAGAAAGACAUUUACACGCACACACACACGUCAUCAUCUAUAAUCAGCUUUCUCUCAAGAGGUAACAUACUCUUUUAACGCACAUUCACACUUA